rnacentral:siRNA from 1 species
AUCACUUUACCAUUUUUCAUGUGU